AAAGUUGUUCCAAAUAUUAACUGGUCUCGUGAGAUGUCUUCUUGGCUGCAGCCUGACCAUCUAACUUACUGUUUUUCCUCCAGCUGCUGCCUCCUGCUUUCCCUCUGCUGCAGGCUGGAAUGAAGGGCGGCUGGUGGCGCGGGGGAGGAGAUGGAGGAGCAGCAAAGUUGGCCAGGGUCCUGCUGGCUGGGGGCCAGGACUGCCUCCCUAAACAAGCAAGCAGAGGCGCAUACAGCCCUGGUUUGAGUUGUUGCCCUUAAUCAUCUGGCCACAGCAGGAAUAAGAGGCUCCCGGAAAACCCUGGCUCUUGGCUAUCUCUUCCAUGAGCACACCCUGGCCCUGGGGCCUGAGAUCUCUCCAUGCAGAGGCAGCCAUGAACUGCGGGGGCAGCAGCAAGGCUGGCCACACCACCCACCCCGCCACCUCCGGCCCCGCCGCUCAACCAGCCAUCAGUCCCUUAACUGCGAGUGUUCGUGGACCAUAGAAAACAACCAACAGAUCCCAGCCAGCCUAGAAGCAGGCUCACAGUUUUCCAUGGAGGGCUUGGAUAGUAAACUGAUCCUGGAUGUUGGCGGCAUAUGCCACCUGAUCUACAUCAGCACCAUGAGGGCCUUUCCAGGUAGAAAUUCGAACAGCUUAGAGAAAUGAAGAGCAGGCUGAGUGUGGUGGCUCACGCCUGUAAUCCCACCACCUUGGGAGACUGAGGCAGAUGGAACAUCUGAGGUCAGGAGUUCAGCAGCUCCAGACCAGCCAGGGCAACAUGGUGAAAUCCUG